GGCGUGCUUAACACAUGCAAGUCGAACGAUGAUUCCCAGCUUGCUGGGGGAUUAGUGGCGAACGGGUGAGUAACACGUGAGUAACCUGCCCUUGACUCUGGGAUAAGCCUGGGAAACUGGGUCUAAUACCGGAUACGACCAUCUGGCGCAUGUCAUGGUGGUGGAAAGCUUUUGUGGUUUUGGAUGGACUCGCGGCCUAUCAGCUUGUUGGUGGGGUAAUGGCCUACCAAGGCGACGACGGGUAGCCGGCCUGAGAGGGUGACCGGCCACACUGGGACUGAGACACGGCCCAGACUCCUACGGGAGGCAGCAGUGGGGAAUAUUGCACAAUGGGCGCAAGCCUGAUGCAGCGACGCCGCGUGAGGGAUGACGGCCUUCGGGUUGUAAACCUCUUUCAGUAGGGAAGAAGCGAAAGUGACGGUACCUGCAGAAGAAGCGCCGGCUAACUACGUGCCAGCAGCCGCGGUAAUACGUAGGGCGCAAGCGUUAUCCGGAAUUAUUGGGCGUAAAGAGCUCGUAGGCGGUUUGUCGCGUCUGCUGUGAAAGACCGGGGCUCAACUCCGGUUCUGCAGUGGGUACGGGCAGACUAGAGUGCAGUAGGGGAGACUGGAAUUCCUGGUGUAGCGGUGAAAUGCGCAGAUAUCAGGAGGAACACCGAUGGCGAAGGCAGGUCUCUGGGCUGUAACUGACGCUGAGGA
rnacentral:rRNA from 1 species